rnacentral:tRNA from 1 species
CGGGGCGUAGCGCAGCCUGGUAGCGCGCUUGCUUUGGGAGCAAGAAGUCGGCGGUUCAAAUCCGCCCGCCCCGACCA